rnacentral:rRNA from 1 species
AUGAGCAGGAGGCCCAGGGAGAAGGAGCCCUCCUUGCUGGUCUCCGACGGCCGGCGUCGGCAGCACAACCGCCUCCUCCAAGAGGAGGCCCUCCUUGUCGGCCUCUCCCGUGCUGGUGCCAGGGAAGCUCAAUGCUCUCGGCAAGGAAACCAGGGAGCAGGCGCACAAUCAAUGGCAAGCCGAGUCGACAGCCUAUCAAACGCUAACCCAUCUCGCGGUGCGCCACCGUCCGUCGCGGCCGCCCCCGCCACCUCCCGCCGCGGCCGCCGCCCCCAUGUCCCACCGCGGUCGCUGCCCGCGCCAAUGACCCCUUCUCCCGCCGCCGCGCCACGGGUCCACUUCGCCAUGAGCUCCAGCGCCGACCAUCCCGCCGCUGCUCGUGAUCCCCUCUUCCAUCAGCUCCACUUCACCGGAACCGAAAAUCAGCCAAGAUACACAACAAACAUAUCAACCGCAGCUAUCUGCUAUGCGCACAUGUGCGAAAACAAACUAAUUAAUCCUUUGCCGUAG